GACGAACGCUGGCGGCGUGCUUAACACAUGCAAGUCGAACGGAAAGGCCCUGCUUUUGUGGGGUGCUCGAGUGGCGAACGGGUGAGUAACACGUGAGUAACCUGCCCUUGACUUUGGGAUAACUUCAGGAAACUGGGGCUAAUACCGGAUAGGAGCUCCUGCUGCAUGGUGGGGGUUGGAAAGUUUCGGCGGUUGGGGAUGGACUCGCGGCUUAUCAGCUUGUUGGUGGGGUAGUGGCUUACCAAGGCUUUGACGGGUAGCCGGCCUGAGAGGGUGACCGGCCACAUUGGGACGGGGAUACGGCCCAGACCCCUCCGGGGGGCAGGAGGGGGGAAUAUUGCACAAGGGGCGGAAGCCUGAGGCAGCAACGCCGGGGGGGGGAUGGCGGCCUUCGGGUUGUAAACCGCUUUCGCCUGUGACGAAGCGUGAGUGGCGGUAAUGGGUAAAGAAGCACCGGCUAACUACGU
rnacentral:rRNA from 1 species